UUUCCGUAGGUGAACCUGCGGAAGGAUCAUUAAGGUUAUAGUCCCCUGGCCCUCUGGGCUGGGGUCUUCUAUACCACCCUUUGUUUAUUACACCUUUGUUGCUUUGGCAGGCCUGCCCUCGGGCUGCUGGCUCCGGCCGGCGAGCGCCUGCCAGAGGACCUAAACUCUGUUUGUCUAUAAUGUCUGAGUACUAUAUAAUAGUUAAAACUUUCAACAACGGAUCUCUUGGUUUUG
rnacentral:misc_RNA from 1 species